rnacentral:rRNA from 1 species
GGGGGAAAAUGAAGGGGGAUGGAACGGGACGCCAUGGCGGCCGCGGGAAGUCUAUUAGAGUUUGAUUAUGGCUCAGCCCCUUUAAAUGGCGGCGUGCUUAACACAUGCAAGUCGAGCGACCCUAAUUGAGAGCUUGCUUUUGAUUAUUUUAGCGGCGGACGGGUGAGUAACGUGUGGGCAACCUACCUUUUACUGUCGAAUAAUCGUUGGAAACGACGACUAAUACCGCAUACGAUUUUCUGAAGGCAUCUUUGGGAAAGGAAAGGAAAUAUUCGGUAAAAGAUGGGCCCGCAUCUGAUUAUCUAGUUGGUGAUAUAAUAGCCCACCAAGGCAACGAUCAGUAGCCGACCUGAUAGGGUGACCGGCCACAUUGGGACUGAGACACGGCCCAAACUCCUACGGGAGGCAGCAGUGGGGAAUAUUGCAUAAUGGGCGAAAGCCUGAUGCAACAACGCCGCGUGAAGGAAGACGGUUUUCGGAUUGUAUACUUCUACCAAUAGGGAAGAAAGAAAUGACUGUACCUAAAUAAGAAGCCCCGGCUAACUACGUGCCAGUAGCCGCGGUAAUACGUACGGGGCAAGCGUUCUCCCGAAUUACUGGUUGUAAAGGGAGAGUACGCCCCUAGGUAAGUCGAUAUGUGAAAGCCUUAUGCUUAACCACCCGAUUGCAUAAUUAACUAUCCAGCUAGAUUACAGGAGAGGAAAGCGUACUUCCUACCGUAAUGUCGAACUGCCUACAUAUUACGAAGAAAACCAUUGGCUAAAGCGUCUUUCCGGACUGCAACUGACUAUGAAGACCCGUAACCGUGGCGAUUGAAAAUGAUCAAAUACCCUGGUACUCCCCGCUAUAC